CGCGCACAACUCUAUUCAAUCCAUCGAGAGCGACAGUUUUUUAGAGCUAACGGCUUUAAAAGUUUUAUGGUUGCAGAGUAACAAACUUCCUUCUGUUAGUAAAAAUCUAUUCAGUGGGCUUUCUAGUUUGACGAGCUUAGAGCUCUACUCUAACGAUAUCCAUUCCGUAGAGCUAAACGCCUUUGCUAUGCUAAAAUCCUUAAAAAAAUU